UAAAUAGCAUUGCAGCUCACGGAAGUGUGUGCUUGUGAUGGCACAGCUGAACAUUGAUCGCUAAACGUAGAGAUGUUGGUGGCAGAUCUGCUCAGUGGGUGUUGUCACGUGGUCGCUUCACGUAGCUUGUGUUGGAUUCCCGAUUGCGCGUACUUGUUCGUGGACUUGUGCUUUUCACAGCCCUCGGAUACGCACGCCUGCACGGUUGAGUCUUCACGUCGCUCCUCGAACUACCGCGAUUUCCAAAUUGGGGGGUAAUCGAAUAGGUCAGACGAGAUGCAACCUGGGUGAACAGUAGAUUCCAAUUCCAAGCUUCGUCGGCUUCCUUGACUAAAUUUUCGUUAUACAAUUUUUCGCACUAACUUGCUGCCUUUCAAAUCGUCACCCCAACCAGUUUUUCUGGCACGAGGUGGCGCCACAGGUGGUUGUGUCGGAUAUCCUGAAGAAAAUGACAUUGGACUAUUUAACAAAUCGUCGUCAGAUUUUGAGUCUUCUUGCAUAAAAUUUUGACCUGCUCUUCUGCCGAGUCUAGGUAUAAGCUGUAAAUAUUAGCGCAGUUAUGAAAAAAUAUUAAAUUUAAUAUUUUAUCUAAAUUAAUUUUACGAUAAUGUUGACACAGAUUUGUCGAGAAAUAUCAGCGACUAUAUGUAUAAAUUUUUAUUAAUUAUGACGAUUAUUUAAAUGAAUGUACCUUCUUCGAUGUAAUUUCUAAAUCUGUAGCCCAAUCCAUCGUUGUUUAAAAUAUGAUUUAUGUAUCUUAAAAUAAAAGGAUUAUUGAGACAGUA
rnacentral:lncRNA from 1 species